rnacentral:rRNA from 1 species
GCUUAAUACAUGCAAGUCGUGGGGCAGCAUGAGUAGCAAUACUUGAUGGCGACCGGCAAACGGGUGCGGAACACGUACACAACCUUCCUACAAGUGGGGAAUAGCCCAGAGAAAUUUGGAUUAAUACCCCGUAACAUAUAGAGAUGGCAUCAUUUUUAUAUUAUAGCUACGGCGCUUGUUGAUGGGUGUGCGGCUGAUUAGGUAGUUGGCGGGGUAACGGCCCACCAAGCCUUCGAUCAGUAGCUGAUGUGAGAGCAUGAUCAGCCACACGGGCACUGAGACACGGGCCCGACUCCUACGGGAGGCAGCAGUAAGGAAUAUUGGACAAUGGGCGCAAGCCUGAUCCAGCCAUGCCGCGUGAAGGAUUAAGGUCCUCUGGAUUGUAAACUUCUUUUAUAAGGGACGAAAAAAGGGAAUUCUUUCUCACUUGACGGUACCUUAUGAAUAAGCACCGGCUAACUCCGUGCCAGCAGCCGCGGUAAUACGGAGGGUGCAAGCGUUAUCCGGAUUCACUGGGUUUAAAGGGUGCGUAGGCGGGUAUUUAAGUCAGUGGUGAAAUCCUAGAGCUUAACUCUAGAACUGCCAUUGAUACUAUUUAUCUUGAAUAUUGUGGAGGUAAGCGGAAUAUGUCAUGUAGCGGUGAAAUGCUUAGAUAUGACAUAGAACACCUAUGGCGAAGGCAGCUUACUACGCAUAUAUUGACGCUGAGGCACGAAAGCGUGGGGAUCAAACAGGAUUAGAUACCCUGGUAGUCCACGCCCUAAACGAUGGAUACUCGACAUACCCGAUACAC